ensembl:lncRNA
GUCCAAGUGGUUCUUACAAGUGCAUGACUCUAACAACAGUGUCUGAAGUUGGUCCCAUUAAGGUGACCACCAAAACUAAAAACUGUGCACCUGAACCUGAGUGUAAACCUGAGACCCAUCAGAUACCAACUGGGACGGCAUAUGUCCAGUGCUGUGACACUGACCUUUGCAAUGCAGCAGAUGGUGUGUAUAAGGGAAGCUUCCUCCUGCUGUGGUCUCCUCUGUUUUUCUACAUCCUGUUUCAGUGAGUCCGGCUGCACUGCAGAUUCUACCUUUGCAGCAAAAACUGAAAGUCACACACAUUUCUAUUCAUACUUUACUGAACACAAUGUGUGCAUGUAGUUCUGGUGUUGUUGUUGUUUUUUAGUAUCAUGAUUUGAGGAACAGAAACUUUGUAUUUUAUCAAACAAAAUCCUGCAUUAAACAAUGUAAUAGACAAAUAAUUAUAUAAAACAAACACAUUAUAUAAUAAGUUUGCAAGAGUUUGCAAUAUCUGCAGUCAUUUUGUACAAUAAUAGUACCUGCAAUCAAGACUAUGUAUUUCCUUUUCAUUUUUAAAAAUGUAUUCUCUCUCUCUUCAUCAUAAAAAGUAAAUAAAGAAAAAAACAUUAUAGAGUGCUAAACUGC